AGGGCGAACGCUGGCGGCGUGCUUAACACAUGCAAGUCGAACGAUGAAGGAGGAGCUUGCUCCUCCGGAUUAGUGGCGAACGGGUGAGUAAUACGUGAGCAAUGUGCCCUUGACUCUGGGAUAAGCGCUGGAAACGGCGUCUAAUACCGGAUACGACCCUCGGAGGCAUCUCCUGUGGGUGGAAAGACUUCGGUCAAGGAUCAGCUCACGGCCUAUCAGCUAGUUGGUGAGGUAACGGCUCACCAAGGCGACGACGGGUAGCCGGCCUGAGAGGGUGACCGGCCACACUGGGACUGGAGACCACGGCCCAGACUCCGUACGGGAGCAGCAGGUGGGGAAUAUUGCACAAGUGGGCGCAAGCCUGAUGCAGCAACGCCGCGUGAGGGACGACGGUCCGUUCGGGUACUAAACCGUCGUUUAGCGAGGAACGAAGCGAAGAGUAGACGGUACU
rnacentral:rRNA from 1 species